UUUUUUUUUUUUUUUUGUACUAUUAGAUUCCCUUUACGAAGCCCACUAUCAUAAUAUCUCAAAAUCUUCUCCCCAAAAUUACUAAUAUGCCCCCCACCCCUCAAAUAUAUAUAUAUAUAUAUUAUAUGUAUGUAUGUAUGUAUGUUGGUGGAUGAUAUAUACAUAUACAGAUAAUAUCUAUAAGAGUAGAUGUGGUACCUAGCUUUUCCGUUCCUAGGUAUUCUAAGCCUACCCAAUAAAAGACAUUUGCAUGUAAAGGAAAAAGAAAGACUCUUCCAAACUACCUACCAUGCAUUACUAUUUUGUUUUCUCAUACAUUUUGGUUUUAAUCAAUAUUUGAUUUGUUUCUUGAAUUUUCUUCAAGAUAUAACAGAUGGUGUGAUAAUAUUAAUUAAUAAAACUGAAUUUUAUUUUUUAAAUAUAAUUAUAUAAAUUUCAAAAUAUUAAAGAACUAAAUCCAUUGGUUAACUAUGUCAACCAAAUAUAAUAAAUAGAUAACUUGUUAAACUACAGUUUAUUUAAUAUUUUUACUUAUUUAAAUGUAUGUUGAAUUAAAACUAUAAAAAAAAAAAAAAAAACUCAUAUUUUAAAGGCUUAGAAUACUAAGUUAUUAUUAUAUUUUAAAUAAAAAUAUAAAAUUGACUCAAGAACUUCCAAAUCGAAUAUUUUUACAGUAAAAUAAUAUUCGUAAAAAAAUGCUCAUGUUAUAAUUCAAAUCUCUAUUUUAUUUCAUAAUAAAUACUAAUAAGUAACAACAUGCCACAGGUCAAACACCCCAUCAUAGAACUUUAAUAAUAAUAAUAAUAAGAAGCUAAUAAAUAAAUAAAAUUGCUGGCGUCUGCUAACGUGACACUGCUCUGUCAGUUCUAACUUUACAAACCAAUAAAAAAACAAUUAUUAGGGUUUGAAGAAAUGAAAAACAAACAAACAGAACAAAACAAAAAUAGACCGGUAUGCUUUCCCACGCUAAUACCAGGCGCGUUCGCUGCAUCUCCCCAGUUCACGCUCGCGGCGAACUCCGCCAAAAAAACCACGUGAUCAGACACGCUUCGAAAGUAGCGUGAGAUUCACACUCCCUCAACAACAAACAACCUAAUAACAAUCUCAACAGUCUUCGCCAAAUUCAAAUUAAGCUACAGUCACAAGACAGUGAUACUAACGACUAUAACGUUACCAACCAGAAGCUGCCACGUAUGAGGAUCGAGGAACCCCUCGCCUGUCAUCCGAAAUUUCCCUUAUCCUUUACUGGUAGCCUGGUAUCACAGGAAUAAAAUUAGAAAUAUUUAAAAAGAAAAUUCAGAAUAAAAAGUCUCCUCUUCCCUACUCCUACACUGCAGUGUUGAAGAACACUCAGCCCAGCAGAAUAAUAAACAGACUUUCUCAGUCAAUUCACCAUCUAGCUUAGUUUUAUGAAAUUGUAACUUCUCGCCUCUGUUUCCUUCUUAUUAACGGAAAUGCCAUCACGAGCCUCACCUCCGCCGGUGGCGUAUUCGCAGAAUCAUCACCGGAACCAUUUUCACACCCUCCCGCCGCUUCUCGCCGGGAUAGUGACGCUAACCCUAGCUCUGCUCGUUCUCUUCGUUUUUCUUCUCUACCGCAAGCUCUCCCGCAACCGCACGGCUCCCUCUGACCUCAUCAUCAAGUCCCCAAACCACCAGCAAUGCCGAAGAUUCUCUUACUCUCUCCUCCGUCGAGCCACUAACUCCUUUGCUCCUUCCAACCGGCUUGGCCAUGGAGGUUUCGGUUCUGUCUAUAAAGCCGUUUUGCCUUCCUCGUCGCAGUCCCUCGCUGUCAAGGUCAUGGAUUCUUCCUCGGGCUCACUUCAAGGGGAGCGUGAGUUUCACAACGAACUCUCCUUAUCUUACUCUCUCAACUGCCCUCACAUUGUUUCCCUUCUCGGCUUCUCCUCGGAUCACCGUGGCCGCAGAUUUAUCCUCGUUUACGAGCUCAUGGAAAACCGGAGUUUGCAGGAUGCGUUGUUGGAUCGGAAAUGCGAAGAGCUGAUGGACUGGAACAAAAGGUUUACUAUUGCCGCAGAUGUGGCUAGGGGUAUUGAGUUCCUUCACCACUGCUGCGAUCCUCCGGUUAUUCACAGUGAUAUCAAGCCCAGCAACAUUCUGCUAGAUGCUAAUUUCAAGGCGAAGAUUGGGGAUUUCGGACUGGCGAGAGUGAAGAGCGAGGAUUUAAAUGUUAUGGAGGAGGAAAGGAAGAAGGAAGGUGUGGAAGAUAAUGGGUCGAUUUUGGAGGAGACGGAUAGUGUGAUGACUGGAUAUGAUGUUGUUGAUCAGUCGCCGGAGAGUUGCGUGAUUAGGGUAGUCGAUUCGGAGGCGUCGCCGGAGACAGUUGCGGGUGUCUCACCGGAGGUGGGUUUGGAGAAGGGGAGUGUAUCCGAGGGCUGUUUUGAUAAGUUUAGUGUUGACAGUGGCAAAGACUUGAUCUCCGGUGGUGGUAAAAAGUGGGGUUCAAGGAGAGAUUGGUGGUGGAAACAGGAUAAUGGAGGUGAGUCUGAGUCAGGCAGAGUGAAGGACUACGUGGUGGAGUGGAUUGGGAAUGAGAUAAAGAAAGAGACACCCAAAAACGAAUGGGUUGCAUCCACUAGUUCUGUGGAUAAUGGUGGGCUGACCUCGAAAAUUGAACAGAAGAAGGAAAAGGUUAGAAAGAAAGAGAAGAAUAGGAAGCCAAGGGAAUGGUGGAAGGAAGAGUUCUGCGAAGAACUCACCAAGAAAAAGAAGAAAAGAGCGCUUAAUUCGACUGGUAGCGCUGAGUUUUGGUGGCAAAAAGAUGAGGAAUCUGCGCAAGAGAGGAAGAAGAAGAAGAAGAGCAAGAGCAGUAGAAGCAGCAUUGACUGGUGGCUAGAUGGGUUUAGCGGCGAAUUGAGGAAUGGGAGAAGAAAUAGUCAGGAUUGGGCAAAUUCAGACAUACCCAAAAGCGGUGGUGUUAGUAGCACGCCGAGCAUGAGAGGAACCGUUUGUUACAUCGCUCCCGAAUAUGGAGGUGGUGGUGUACUCUCAGAGAAGUGUGAUGUUUAUAGCUUUGGAGUCCUGCUUUUGGUUUUAGUUUCAGGGAGGAGGCCCCUGCAAGUAACGGCAUCACCAAUGUCCGAAUUCGAAAGGGCUAAUUUGAUAUCUUGGGCUAGGCAACUUGCCUAUAACGGCAGGCUUUUGGAUCUUAUUGAUCCUUCCAUAGAUUCAUUAGAUAAAGAUCAGGCAUUGCUCUGCAUUACAAUUGCACUACUUUGUUUGCAAAGAUCACCGGAGAAACGGCCCACGAUGAAAGAAAUUGUUGGGAUGCUCUCUGGCGAGGCCGAGCCUCCCCAUUUGCCAAUUGAGUUCUCACCGUCUCCACCCACGAAUUUCCCUUUUAAAUCUCGGAAGAGGGCACGGUGAGUUUACGGAGUUUUCUCUUAAGUUUUGAUUGACUGUAGAAUUUGUACUAUUGUAGCUCUGUAGGUAAUUUGUGAUUAGCAUUAUCUUUCAUAUAACACGUUUGCAAGAAUGGAAGGAGGUAAUUGCAUUUUUCAUGUUUUCCAUCUCAUUUUGCAAUGGUUUUAUGUUUAGGAAAGACUCUUCUUUACUCUUGCAGUUUUGAAUUUUGAUUCUUGGACAUGUUUGGUUAUUGGGAAUCCCAGAAUCAGGGAUAAACUUGAACGUUUGAUAGACGCUGCUUUUUCAACUUUUCCCUGUGUUGAAGCCAACCCAACGAGGCUUCACAAACAAGUUUACUUUUGUCGUGAAGAGGGGCCUCGGCUGACAUGUUUGCUUUGCAUGACUUUUGCACCUUAGGGGCCCGGAAGAUAUAUCCUUUAUUGUUGUCUGCUACCUUUCGAAAGGUAAUAUGAUUUACGUGCUAAAGUGACAUGGAAUUCAGUAAAGAUGGAGAAAAUCUUGGUCCCAGUUUGUCAUAUUGGAUAAUGAUAUGGGUCAUAUGAAACCCUGAUGCCCACAGGCAUGAACACCCUUACACGCGCAGAUUGAGAGGGAGUGGGGGGAGAUAGUGGAAGAAAAGUGAUAUAAUGUACACAGAUAUUGUCAUGUAGUUGUUUAACCUGUUCUAUAAAGUUACCCUCAAAAAGAAAGAAGAACCUUUUCCAGAAAGUAUGUUAUUGUAUACACUAGUCGUUUUUCCCGUCAGCUCCCAUAUGUGUAUACAUCUUUUAUCCAGAAAUAUGUGGGGGAGCAAUAUGCGAGAUUCGUGAAGGGUAGGGCGUCCUUUAGAAACUAUUGAAAUUAGGUUCUGAACGGGAUUUAGAAUUUUCUACUCUCCAAUCUAUAAUACAUGGUGAAUUCAGUUAUAUAUUUCUCACGUAGAAUAGACUACACUAAAUAAAUAUUGGGUACUUAGUGUUUCUUUGCAAAAUAAUUAAAUUUGGCAUGUGUCAAGAAUCUUUAACAUGCACCCAGUUACGGCUUAAGAGUGUAAGAAAGAAAGAGAAUAGAAUGGAGAAAUAGGAAGAAGACAGGAUACCCGGCAAGAAUUCUGAGAACAGAUAGAUUUUUUUAUUUUAUUACUACUCAUCAUGAUUGAAAGACUAGAUUAUAGACCUAUAUGUGCUCCUCCGGAAAAUCAAGCCCACAAUCUAACAGAAAAAUCUUGCGAAUCUACUCUGUUUCCGGGUCUAUUCUUUUCCUCGUGAGCUCAGGCUGUGACAACAUGCUCGAAAUUAGAAGUGAAACUUGAAACAAAUUGCCUCAGUUCUGCUGUGUCAUUUUAGAUUAUUUCUCUAAUUGGAAGUAAAUGUAGAUUUCGAGAAGAAAAUCCUACAAAAAUAGUUUCAAAAAUAGUUAUUGAAUUUAGGAUUCGUCUGCCUCAUAUCUUUUUAAUUCUCACACAAAAUCUUUAAUAGCUCAUUUGUUUACCUGGAACAUUUAUCUGCUGCAUAGUAUGUUUUGUAGAUGUUCUUUCUGAAGCUUCAUGAAUUGUUUUCUGAUACCGUCCAUAAAGCUCCACACUAUAUCAGCGGCUUUAAUGCUCAUUGAACCACUUACAUGGUUUCUUUUAUACCCUGAAUUUAAGCUCUACGGUCUGUGAAUUCUGUCUCUGUUCUCGUUCUGUUUUUUUAGGGAACUUGAAUACUCCUUUAAGGGGGGGGUGGGGGGGGGGCUGCUAUAAUUUUCAGUGAAGUAACAGUAACACAUUGAAUAUCAGUUUUCAGCAUUGGCCCCUUCUACCAAUCAUUCACCCGAUAGUAAUGAAUUUCUAUUCUAAAGCUUCCAGAUUUAUUUUUGUAUGUAUGAUAUAAUUGCGGGUAAGUGGCCGCAGAGAAUUAAUUAAAAUCAGCACUUGACGGUGCGUGUCUUGUGGAUCUGAAUCCAGUCUAUUCGCCUCAUCUUUAACCUUCUUCUGCUUCUUCUUCUUCUUCUUCUUCUUCUUACUUCAAUUGUCUGCAAGGAAGAAGUAAACAAUAAAAAAAUUUGGAAUAAUAAAAUGUUAUUUUAAACUCACUUUCUAUUUUCACUAUCAUUCUCUCUACUUUUACUUUUUAAUUGGUUUAAUAAAUAUGUGAAGUUAUAAAUUAAAAAUUCAAAUUGGUUUUCCAUACUUAAAUCGGGCAAACAAAUUUAUCCUACUUAUUUUCUUUAAUUAUUAUAUUAAGUACUAUUAUAAUAUUUUAAUUCCCUUAAUUAACAUCCUCUAUUCCCGACAAAAAUCAUUUAUGGGAGUUUUCAACUACUUCAAAUUGAGAUCAACAAUCCGCUAAAUGCUAUUAAGUCUAUCUACUUAAAACCCGUCUACGAUACGAUAAAAGGAUCGUCCACCAAGAUAACGGUGGUUAUUAAAAACGUAAACAAAUACGAGCAUAUUUGUGAAAUUUUUACAUAAAUGAACUGAUUACAUUUUAUUUGUAAAUCUAUCUGACUCCUCAUAUAUAUGUAUACGUAUAUAUGAAGCGCAUUAUAAUUGCCUCUUAUCCUCUAAAGAUCAUUUGAGUUGGCUUAAAAUCUUCCACAAGCCCAAAUACCAAAGGAGAUACUCCAACCAACCACCCACCCUAAUUAUUAUCAUUAUUACUACACCUGAAAAAGUUGGACCACCAUUUCCAAUUUCCCUCCUUUCUUCUCCCCUCUCAAACACUAGUUUCUACUUGCUAAAACAGAAGUGAAUUAAGAGCGGAAGUAAAUCUGAUUAAAUGGUAUUUCUCUUUUUGGACUUCAAAAAUUUGUAUAUAAAGGGCUAUUAUAAUAUUCCUAACCAAAAACCAUUCUUAACACCAUCCUCUUCCCAUCUCAGUACCCAAAUUUCUUAAGUCUCUUUCUCUCGCUCUCUCUCCGCCAUGGCAGACAACACCCCAAUUGCACCAUCUGAUUCUUCAAUUCCCAACGAGUUCCUCAAAAUUACACUAAACCCAGAUGGCUCCUUCAAUCGGUACAACCAUACUCCAAACGUGCAACCCUCCGAUUCCGACUCAACCCUACUCACCCUCUCAAAAGACAUCCCUCUAAACCAUGCCAACAACACCUUCAUUCGCUUAUUCAUGCCUAAAAACAUCCCUCCAAACACUAAGCUCCCUCUUAUAAUCUUCUUCCAUGGCGGCGGCUUUGUCCUUUUCAGCGUUGCCUCGUUACCUUACCACGAAUCCUGCAUUCAAAUGGCCGCUCAGAUCUCAGCUCUCAUCCUGUCCGUUGAAUAUCGACUGGCCCCCGAACACCGCCUCCCUGCGGCGUACGAUGACGCCGUUGACUCCGUCAUGUGGGUCCGCAACCAGGCGAUGGACAUCGACGGCUGUGAUUCGUGGUUGAGGGAUCACGCGGACUUCUCCAAGUGUUUCUUGAUGGGGAGCAGUGCGGGCGGGAACAUGGUGUACCAUGCAGCCUUACGUGCGGUCGACGUGGACCUGUCUCCUCUGCAAAUCGCAGGGCUGAUAUUGAAUCAGCCUUACUUCGGUGGGGUCGAGAGGACGGAGUCAGAGAUGAGGUUCGUCAACGAUCGGAUUCUCCCGUUGCCCGCUAAUGAUCUGCUGUGGUCGCUUGCGCUGCCUGACGGAGCUGACCGUGAUCACGAGUAUUCCAAUCCAAUGGCGUGCGAGGGUGGAUCGUGUGGGGAGAAGAUCGGACGGCUACAGAGAUGCUUGGUGACGGGGUAUGGAGGGGACCCACUGCUGGAUAGGCAGAAGGAGGCGGUGAAGAUGCUGGAGUCACGUGGGGUGCACGUGGAGACACGCUUUGAUCAUGAUGGUUUUCACGCGGUGGAACUGUUUGACCCGGUUAGGGCCCGAGGUCUUUACGAGCGAUUCAAGGAGUUCAUUAGAGCUGCUUGCGGGAGCUGCAAUGUCAGUGGGGUUAAAGCCCAAUCAGCUAUAUAAAGAUUUUUAGUAUAUUUAUUUUGAAUUUAAUAUAAUUAUGAAUUUAACAGUUAAAAAAGUUUUUAAUUUUUAUAGUUGUGUACGUACCCUCAGCAUUUUGUUUUAUGAUAUCAGUCUUAUUUGGAAUGAAAAUAUGUUUUGUAGUUUUGUUUAAAACAAAUAUAUAAAAACGGCGUCGAAUUGAGAGGUGUGAUGGUAUUAGAUGGGCCGCCCAUUCAUAUAAAAGGGGUUUAUGGUAUUAUAGGGUAUGCGUACUUGGACGCAUUGAAAUCAUUUAAAGUAGCAAGUGAGAGAGAGCCAUUUAGUCUCUCCAAUUCUGAAGUUUGUAUAAGUGAAGAAAAAAAAAAUAUAUAUAUAUAUAUAUUUUAAAUCUAACAUCUAACCCAUUGUGAUCUUAGAAAUAAAUAUGAAUCUUGUCAUAUAUAUACAUUUAUGUGGUUAAAUGCAUUUGGAGUGAUAUUACAACAGCCGUCAAUGAUUACGACCAUUUGACCCGACAAAUCAGUUGACUCAAACCCUCUUCACUCUCCUACUCGGGUGUUCGACCGCUCAAAAUAACCCUAAUUCACGCCGUGCCCCCAAAAAGAUUCACCCCCUAUACUCUUCAAUACAUAUAUUAAUUAAGAAAAAAAAAAAAAGAAACAAGUUGCAGAGUGAAAACUCAGAAUCUCAUGUUUAUGAUCUUAAAAACAUUCUACAUCCCUCCAAAAAUUACCAAGAUCAUCAUCGAUCAUUAGGAAAUUACCCUAACCAUGUCGCAAGCUCAAAUCGAUCCUUACGACCACCUCAACAUCGUCUUGAACACUGAUGGCACCUGCAAUCGCCUCUUCGACGUCCCAUCAGUUGCCGCCAACCCUAACCCAGCUCAGGGAGAGCCUGCCGCCUCCAAGGACGUUAUCAUUAGCCCAGUAACCGAUGUCACCGCUCGCAUUUUCAGACCUACCAAUCUUCCUUCAAACGACAACGCCAUUGCUCGUCUACCCAUCAUCAUCCACUUCCACAACAGCGGUGGGUGGACCCUUUACGACGCCACCACCGCCAUAAACCACAUGACCUGCGCUCAGACCGCCAGUGAGCUCACCGUCAUUCUCGUUUCCGUCAACUACCGGCUCGCCCCCGAGAAUCGUUUACCAGCUCAGUUCGACGACGCCAUUGACGCCAUCACUUGGGUGAAGGACCAGGCUCUUGCCCCAGAUGGCGAACCCUGGCUCAAAGAGUACGGAGACUUCUCGAGGUGCUACCUCUUCGGAUCUAGCAACGGAGCCAACAUCGCUUUCAACGCCGCGUUACGCACACUGGAUUGCGAUCUGAACCCAAUGAAAAUCAGCGGCUGUAUAUUCUAUCAACCCAUGUUUGGAGGGAAAAACAGAACGAGAAACGAGAUAGCGAAUAUCAACGACCCGUUAAUGCCUUUGGCAGUACAAGAUCUGUUGUGGGAGCUGGCGUUGCCGCCGGGGGUUGACCGGGAUCAUCGGUACUGUAAUCCGUUGAUCGAAGGGCCGCAUACGAAGAAGAUGGCGUCGCUAGGGCGAUGUCUUAUCGUAGGGUACGGCGGAGACUCGAUGGUUGACCGGCAGCAGGCGUUUGUUAAAAUGUUGGUGGCGCUCGGAGUUAGAGUCGACGCUCGGUUUGACGACGCCGGGUUCCAUGGGAUUGAGGCUAUUGACCCUCGACGAGCUGCUCGGCUUCUUAAUUUGACGAGAGAAUUUAUCAUAUGACUCUUUUUUUUUUGUUCAUUAAAAUUUUGUUUACCAUUUUCAUAUAUAUAUGUAUAUGUAUUAGCAGUAGAUAUAAUUAAAAAAAAAAAAAAAAGAAUUAAACGGUCAGGUUCUUUAUAAUAUUUAUGGGUCUAAGAUUAAAAGCAUGCAUCGUGCAGGAUGGAGAUUAAUACAUACACACACACACACACACACACACACAAUAUAUAUUUACCACCUGUAUAAAUACAUAUAUAUUAUGGGUUAUUUUGUUUAUCAGUUUAUUUGGCUAAAAUUGGUCCAAAAUAUUUUUUUAUUUUAUUUUAUACUCUUUUUUCACCGGGCUAUGGGCUAUAUUAGCAUUAGAAAAAAGCGGAUUUGAUAGAUUUAUUAAAGUAGAUUUUCAGUGUUUUCUAUGCACAUGUUCUAAUUUUAGAAGAUUUUUUUAUUAUUAUUAUUUUUUUUACCAUUUUAUAAGAAAUAAUAUAAAUAUUAUUAUUUUCUAUACAUAAAAAUUCUAUAAAAAUAAAAGAAUUUCCAAUGAAAAUAUAAAAUAAGACCUUUCUGCUUUUUAAUCAGAUUUCUUUAACGCAUGUGUAAAUUUAUGUUAUCAAAUUAAAAAUAAAUAUUCUUUGUAAUUAAAAUAUUCCCUUCAAUAUUUCUGUAUCACAAUAUAAUAAUUUAUAAAUUAAUAGUCGCUUGAAUAAAUUGAAAAUGUAAACAGUAUAUUUAUAUAUUACCAACUUUUUCAUCAAUCCGAAAGUUACAAAUAUCUAAAAGAAUAUUCUUCCCACAUCUGUUACAAAUUCAACCAAAAUUGCAGCCAAGGAAAAUAUUUUAUUGAAUUAUUCAAUAUGCAUUUAUUUUUUCAUUGAUGGACGGACAUGUCUAUAGGGCGAGAGCUCUAAUUUUAUGUUAUACUUUCCUUUAGUUUUUAUGUGCAUACUUUUUUUUUUUUUAUUAUUCUUUGUAAAAAUUAUAAUAGAUGCAUUGUCACAAUAUAUUUUUACUUUUUUAAAAAGACUUCGGAAUAAAGAUAUAUAUAUAUAUAUUUUUGUUAUACACUACAAUCAGAAUGAAUAAAUAUCAAUUAUUUUCUCUUUUUUUAGCAAAAGAUGUGAUUUAAAGAAAAUAUUUAUAGCAUUUACUUAUUUAUAUACUAUUGUCUAUGAAAAAAAAAUACUUUUAUUGAUGAAUUAAUAUUGGAUAAAAUAACAACAUUAGUGGAUUAAUGACAUAUAAUUAAUAGUUGUAUAAUACUUUAUGAUAGUGAAAAAAAAAAAUUAGAGUAAGAUAUUUUUCCUAUUAAACUUAUAAGAAUCAACUUUAUUUAUUUUUAUUAAAUAAUUUAACAAUUUUUAAUAUAAAUAUUAGAGUGAUAAGAUUCUGUAGAUAAUCUUCUGUUGUAUCAGUUUCUCAUUACAACUCAAACUUGUGUAUUAGUAUAAAACUACAACUCUUGUAAUCUUUGGCUUUAAAUAGCCUCUUAAGUAUCAAUAAUAAAACAGAUCAACAAUAUAAAAUUUAUCAUGGUAUCAGAGCCACUGGGCAACAAAAUAUGAUUUUUCUCUCCACAGUGGGCACGUCUCUUUUGCACAAGUGUUCAUUGUGCAUCGUCUUUUCUAGGAUCGUCAGACGCGUAGCCUGAAGCUGCUGGAGCUGCUGCCAUUCUUCCAUCACAUCUCUCUCAUGUUUACCAUAUGCAUCACCACACCAUGUCCAUGCAGUGCAUCGCCGAUCCCACCUUACUAUACNNNNNNNNNNNNNNNNNNNNNNNNNNNNNNNNNNNNNNNNNNNNNNNNNNNNNNNNNNNNNNNNNNNNNNNNNNNNNNNNNNNNNNNNNNNNNNNNNNNNNNNNNNNNNNNNNNNNNNNNNNNNNNNNNNNNNNNNNNNNNNNNNNNNNNNNAUAUCUCUUUUUUAAAGUCAUGUAACCAUGAUAGAGGUCCAAAAGUUGUCACUUAGUUUGAUAAUCUCAAAAUCUAUCAAUUUUUAAUGGGGUUAGAUGAAUCCUAUAGUACCAUUCGCACUCAGAUUACAAACAUAGAGCCUCUAUAUGAUAUAAAUAAAGUAUAUGUCAUGAUCACUCAGGAAGAAAGUCACAGGUCUGUUGUGCAGGCUCAUGAAAAUUCUGCUGCAUUUGGGUUUGUCGUACAGUCAAACACCUUACACCCAAUUAAGGCCCAAUCUUCAUCAUCAUCACCAUCACUCUCCGACAGACCUUUUUGCAUUUACUGCCAAUGCCAGGGACAUACUUAUGAUUGGUGCUGGACAAGACUUAGUAUAUCUCCUUCCCAAAAUAAGGGAAGAGGUCAUGGUUACGGGCACAGAACAUCUCGUCCUAUUAAGCCCCACCUAUUCCAUCUGCUGUUGCAGUCCAAGUUACUCCAUCUGAGCAUGCAUCUCCAGUAGCAACAAAUGUUGUGCAUCCUGCCCAGUCUGCUCCGUCCAUCCUUGGUCUCACCAUCGAGCCAAUCCACCGACUGUUUACUUUAAUUGAACCUUCAUCUACAUCCAACCUUCUUUCUGGUAAGCAGGCACAUAAGGAGCAAUGAAUAAUUGAUAGUGGGGUUUCUCAUCAUAUGCCGGGUACUCUCUCUUUGUUACAUAAUGUUCAUGAUAUCUCUCCAUCCUUUGUUAGAUUAUCCAACACGAAACAAGCUUCAACAAUUAAGGAAGACUCAAUUAUUUUACAAUCUGAAUUUAUUUUACAAUAUGUUCUAUAUGUUCCCAACUUUACUGUGAAUCUUGCUUCUAUUAAAAAAUUAAUUUGUGAUUUAGACUAUUUACUGACUUUCACUCAUUGUUACAGGACUGCAUCAUGAGGAACCUGAUUGGAUUAGUUGAGCUGUAGAAUGGAGUCUAUAUCUAUAAACCUGUCUUCAACGCGGUAGCAUAUGCAAUCCAUGGCUAAAAUUCCUACGAACUGUGGCAUCGUCGGAUGGGACAUCUCUCCCUUAAAUCAUUAUCUAUGUUGCCUAUUUCUGGUUCUAAAUUAAGUUUGCAUGCACCGAAUAAACUUUAUGAUAUUUGUUGUCGAGUAAAACAAACUCGAAAUAACUUUCUUCUUAGUACUAGUUGUGCUACAGACAUAUUUGAAUUGAUUCAUUAUAAUAUUUGGGGUCUACACCGUAGUUCUACUUUUUGUUGUGUUUGGCAUUUUCUAACUAUUAUUAAUGACUGAAGUAGUGCUAUUUGGGUAUAUUUGAUGCGUGAUAAAAGUGAAGUUAGCCAUUUGUUACGCAAUUUUUGUAUCAUGAUUCAUACUCAGUUUGAUAAAAAGGUAAAAACUAUUCACAAUGACAAUGGGUUAGAGUUUACUUCUAAUUCUAUGAAACAAUACUAUGUGGAUAAUGGUAUUCUCCAUCAAACUAUCCUUGUUGACACUCCCCGACAAAAUAGUCGUGUCGAGCGCAAGCAUCGACAUAUCCUCAACGUUGCCCGAGCCUUACUUUUUCAAGCUUGCCUUCUUAUUGAAUUUUAGGGUGAAUGUAUCUUUACCGUUGUACAUUUAAUUAACUAUACUCCUACUUCGGUUCUACAUGGUCUCACCCCCCACAGAAAAUUAUUUUCUUCACCACUUUCAUUAUCACAUCUCCGAACUUUUGGUUGUUUGUGUUACGCACAUCACAAGUCUAGUUCCCAUGAUAAAUUUUCACCGCGAAGUUGUCGUGUAUGUUUUUGGGGUACCCACAUGGAAAAAAGGGAUGGAAAUUAUUGAAUUUAAAACAUAUGAAAUUUUUGUGUCCUAAGAUGUAUUCGAUGAAAACUUUUUUCCGUACUCAUGUUCUGCACCUCUUACUCAGUCUCUCACAUAAUCCACUGCCUCUCAUCAAUUCAAUGUUGACUGAAACCGGCCAAUUUCCCAUCUCAUCUCCUUGAGCUCUCUAAUAGGGGGAGUUGUGUCCAGUCCUUACAACACCACUUGUCCAACACCACAUCAUCUUCUAUUGUCGAACCCCCUCUUAUUUUACUUUUAGACACGUCCCAACAGAAUGCUCAACCAGCUUUACCCGAACAGCCCAUGUAGAUGUUGGGCCAUGGCCAUUGCUUUUGAUAUCUUUUGUCUCAUCUUUGGGACUAUGUUUAUUACACCGCACAGGUUAAAGACCCCUCUCCACUCAUCUCUACCCAUGGUGGUUCCUCAGGUAUGCAAUAUCCUUUACUUAACUAUGUCUCAUGUGACUAAUUUUCUGCUAAUCAUAAGAUUUUUCUUGCUAUUGUUUCCAUUAGGGUUGAACCCUGAACUUUCCUCGAAGCCAUGCAGGAUCCUAAAUGAUGCGAGGCCAUCCGUGCUAAGAUUGAUACUCUUGAAAAAAUUUGUACAUGGACACUUAAGACUCUCCCUCCAGGUAAAAAGUCGAUUGGUUGUAAAUGGGUAUACAAAAUCAAAUAUCACUCUGAUGGUUCUAUUGAAUGCUACAAAACCCGAUUGGUAGUCUGUGGUGAUAAUUAGGUUGAAGAAUUGGAUUUCAAUGAAAAUUUUGAUCAUAUAGCUAAGUUGGUAAACGUUUGUGUCUUUUUAGCUGUUGUUGUUACUAAAGGUUGGGAGCUGCAUCAAAUAGAUGUCAAUAAUGCGUUCUUGCACGUAGAUCUUCAUGAAGAGGUUUAUAUGUGGUUGCCUCCUGGGUUUUCUGUCCAUCACCCAGAUAAGGUUUACUGGCUGCGGAAGUCUAUCUAUGGCCUUUGACAAUCUUCCUGCAACUAGUUCAUUAAACUUGUUUAUUAUCUUCAUCAUUAUGAUUUUUACCAAUCCCAUACAAAUCACACUUUGUUUACAUAUCGCAAAAAAGAUGUUUUUUUAAUAGUGUUUGUAUAUGUUGAUGAUCUCAUCUUAGCAGGCAAUAACUCUCAAGCAUGUUAGUCAUUCAAGAAUUAUCUUAAUGCUUAUUUUCAUAUAAAGGACCUAGUAACCUCAAAUAUUUUAUCGGUAUCAAAGUAGCACGUAAUUCUAAUGGUCUUUUCUUGUGCCAAUGUAAAUACACAUUGGAUAUCUUGCAGGAAUCUGGCCUUACUGCUGCCAAACUAACAUUUAUACCCAUGGAACAGAAUCACUAUUUGGCUUAUGCAUUUGGUCCAUUUCUCAUUAACCUUAGACAAUAUCAUCGCUUUGUUGGUUGUUUGGUAUUUCUAAUUAUCACGAGGCCUAACUUAUGUUAUUCGGUCCACAUUUUGUCUCAAUUUCUUCAUGUGUUAUAUCAAGUACAUAUGGAUACUGCUUUACACAUACUACGUUGUCUCAAAGGCUCCCCAAGAUAAAGAAUUUUUAUGAACACCAAUAGCUUUUUGCAAUUGUUCGCAUAUUGUGAUUUCAAUUAGAUUGCUUAUUCGUUGACUUGCCAUUCAUUGUGUAUUUAUUUUAUGCAUCUUGGUGUCUCACCUAUCUCUUGGAAGACCAAGAAAUAACUUAUUGUGACUCACUCAUCUGCUGAAGCUAAAUAUCGUGUUAUCAUUGUUACUACUUGUGAGCUCACAUAGCUUAAAUCCUUUCUAGCUUUAUUCGAUGUAUUUCACAAGCAACUCAUGCGGCUUUUCUGUGAUAACCAGGUCACACUUCACAUUGCUUCCAAUCUGGUCUUUCAUGAACGAAAAAAAUAUAUCGAAGUCGAUUGUCAUUAUGUGCAGGAACAACUUUUGGCAGGUAAUAUCUCUACUUCAUUCCUACGCUCCUCUCAACAACUUGAAGACCUUUUCACCAAAGCUCUUGGAUGCUAGCAGUUUCAUACAUUAUUGAGCAAGUUAGGCGUUCAAAAUCCUCAUACUCUAACUUAAGAGGGAGUAUCAAGGAUAACUAUAAAUAUCAUUGUGAUAAGAUUCUACAAAUAAUCCUCUGUUAUAUUAGCUUCUCACUACAACUCAAACUUGUCUAUCAGUGUACAACUACAAUUCCUGUAAUCUUUAGCUUUAAAUAGCCUCUUGAGUAUCAAUAAUAAAACAGAUCAACAAUAGAAAGUUUAUCAAUUUGAUUUUAAAUAAGAUCUUACCUAUAAUAUUAUUAUUAUCCACCACUUCUAACAAAUAUAAAAGAUAACAUGUGUCGAGGUAAAUUAGCUAUUUAAAUAUACACUAAGCUGUCUUUGUAUUCAACAGAUUCUAUAAAAUCUAAUACAUUUAGUUCUUACGAACUUAGUUUUUAUUCACAUACUAUAUGUAACAUUGACGUAAUGUCUAUCUAAUCAUGCUAAAUAUGGGACGUUGAACUUGUAUGAAAAUUUACUUUUUUCCUAUUAUUCAUCUCGCAAUUUCCUAAUGAAGUAACUUAAUUAACUUAGGUAUUAGAGUAUAUGCAACAAGGACGCCUUUAGCCCUUAAAUAUCUCUAUUUAUGUGUUUAUAGGUUCUUUUCAAAAAAUGAACAUAUCUUAAUUAUUAAAAGAUACCUGUAAUACAAAGUAAGAUCAUUUCUCAUUAAAAGAAACAAUUAAAGGAUGACAAGAAACACAACAACAUGAAUGAGCCUUCAAAAACCAACUCCUAAACCUUAAAUGUCUGCUUUAAAUCAUAUGUUGAUCCUGUAUCACUAAUAAUCCCUAAACUAGAUAAGAUAAAUAAGACCUUCGGUCACAACAAGCUAAUUUACGAAUCUCGUAAUUUUAAGACUUGAUUAAACUUGUUACGAGAUAACUUAAAUUAACUCAUAGCACUACUAAUAAAAGAAGGUGGUCAAUUAAAAACUAUUUAAAACUGCAAAAAAAAGGGUAUGUUACGACUUGAUCCAUCAAAUGUAAUCAUAUAAUUUACUAUUUUGCCUAAAAAGUUCACGAUGAUGAUGUGAAGGAACCUUAUGUUGGCAACUCAAACUUGAAUAAUCAUAUCAAGCACAUCAAAGCUUUUAAUAUUAUGUACAAGGUAUUUUACUCCAUGUUGUGCCAAGUGUUCCAUUUUUUUCAAUAAAAAUGACUACCAAUUAGUACUUUUUCCUACCAAAAACUUAAUUUCUUUGUAAAAAAAAAAAAAAAAAAUUUAUGAGUAACUUCAUUAAUGGUAGAAACCAAUAAAAUAAAAAAAACCAUGACCAUACAACUAGUAAGAAAUUUACAACAAUAUUUAAAGAGCCUUGACUUAGAGAAUUUAUGAGUCUAAAACAUAAGCGAAACAAUUGUUUUAUUGUUCAUCAUAAAAACCUUAAAUUGAGUCUUUGUCGAAGAAGUAACAACAAACAUUAUUGAACUCUUCGUUGGAAUUAUUAAAAAAAAAAAAAAACAUCGAUAUAGGAGAGGCAACAAUAUAAAAUGGACUUGAGAAAAGAAACUCUGACUUUAUAAUUAUAUUAGCUAAAAUUUUGAAUUAAUGUUCUUAUAUUAUAAUAAUUAUAUAUUUGUGUUAAAUUUUAUUAAUAAAAAAUAAAAAUAAGAUGGAAAAUGACGUAAUAUUGUAAUUUCAUAAAGCAUGAAUAUAAAAAUAAAAUAAACAAUAAAAAAAUUCAACCAACUAAAAGUAAGAACAAUAAAAAUUUCAUUCAACCCUUAUCAUUCCUAAUCUACUUAGGACACUUUGUGGCGUUUAUACUUCUCCGUUAAGGAAUUACUUUUGAUGUUGUAUAAAAACACUCGUACGCAAAGUAUUGUGUGAAGAUUUACACCUAAAACCUGUCGUAGCGAAUUACUUUUAUCUCUUGAUUAAAGAAGUGUUUAAUUUUUAUUAAAAUCGCCACCGUAAAUUAGGUGACAUGAAAGAUCAAAACCUGCUCUGCUCUGCUCUGACUCUUCCUCUUCUCUCUACUUAAAACCUUAAGAGUAAACCCUGGGCCAAUGACCGGCGCUGGAGAAGACGCGCCGGCCCCGCUGGAGUCUAACGGCGGUGAAUUCUUGCUAUCUCUCAUCCAAAAGCCCCGGCAGCAGCAAACCUCACAGCAGAGUUUACCCAGUGGGUCCACUCCCAUUACUCCAAAGACUCUCCAUCAACAAUCUCUCGUUAUCGAUCCCGCUGUUGCGGCUGUUGGCCCCAGUAUAGCCUUACCGCCGUCACCGUGGCCAGCCAAUGGUUACGAUCUUCCUUCUCCAGUUGUCCAUCCUCCCUGGUCUCACCCUCUCGCCCCGCCUUUCCCUCCCGGUUUCUUAGGGUUCCCUCAAUUUCCGGGGAACCAUCUCUCCCCGAACCAAUUCCCGGGAAAUCAAAGGGUCUUGCCCGAGGAUCUUCACAAAUUGGGGUUUCAUGGAAACGCAAAGUACGGAAUUCACAACCUAGCCCAGCACAAGCAGCAGGAACAGCACAAGCUUGUGUUUGGCUCCUUGCCGAACAACAGUGUUCAGAGCCGUGAUGGAUUACUAAACGGAAGUUUACCAGAAAACUCCAAGUUCAAUUCAGUCAAAGACCUCGAGCACGAAGUGAGGAGUCGGCAGUUGAUGAAUUCCAAUUCCAGCCCAAACUCAUCUCAGCAUUGGAGUUUCGAUUCUGGUGAGCGGGAACGGAGAGGAGGAGUCGGAGGAGGAGGCAGCGGCAGAGGAGGCAGCGGCAGAGGAAAGCUGCAGCAGAGUGGGCAUUAUAAAUCCACGCCACCUCCUGGAUUCUCCAACAGGCAGAGAGGAGGCCAUUGGGAAUUUGGGACUAAUGAUAACAAUAGCAGGAGGAGGGGACCGGACCGUAAUGUGGGUAGGGCAAAGGGGGACAUGAGUGAACUGAGUAAUAGAAGUUCUCAGGCCGACAUUGAAGAAGAAAGAUUAAGGAGAUCAUCUAUUGUAGAUGGUAAUGAUGUCGGGCUCAGUGGACAGUUCAAUCACCCUGGUCUGCCUGCCGGGAGCAAUCUGCAUUCUGUUUCAGCAUCUGACGUUGAAGAUUCAAUGUUGGAGUUGCACUUUGGGGUUCCUGAAGAAGCAGAUGGAGAGGGUUACGAGAGGGAGGAGAGGUUGAGACGGGAAGGUGAAGAACUUGUUGAUUCUUUAUUGCUGGAGGGGGAAACCGAAGGAAGGGAUGAGAAGAGGCAGCAUCGAAACUUCCGUGAAAAGGUCUACUCACCAUACCAUCAUCUAUGAUUAUAAAUAUGUUCAAACAUAUCUUUAGUGAUUAGUAGUUUAUACCGAGGGAAUCCGGAAGUGGUAGGUAAAGACUUGUCGGAUGGUUAGUUCUAAGAAUGCACUGGUGGGUAUUUGGCACUAUGGUUAUUAAUCAGAGGAAACUAAAGGUUAUGCUAUUGUAAUUGCAUGUAUAUAAUGAGUGUGAAAGUGAAACUGGCACUGUAUUUGAGAAAUUGACCUUCACUUGGAAGGAUAGCAUUCUAUCUAUCUCUCCUGAAAGAUUAAGUUUAUGUUUAAAUGAGGGUUUCACUUUUUGUUUUGUUUUCAGGAAUCCCGAGUAGAUAGCCGGGGACAGCGUCUGCUUAGCCAAAGGCUGAGAAACUUAAGAAGGCACAUUGUAUGUCGCAGAGACAUAGAUAGCCUAAAUGCUCAUUUUCUUUCAAUUUACGAGUCUCUGAUGCCUCUGGAGGAAGAAAAAGCAAAGCAAAAGCAAUUGUUGAAGUUGUUGGAGAAAUUAGUUCGUGAAGAAUGGCCUGAAGCUCGGUUAUUCCUUUAUGGAUCAUGCGCUAAUUCAUUUGGAGUUUCUAAAAGUGACAUUGAUGUUUGCCUUGCAAUUGAGGACACAGGUACUAAAAAGUCCGAGAUAUUGUUGAAGCUGGCAGAUAUUUUGAAAUCAGACAAUCUCCAGAAUGUGCAGGUGACUGGCAGAUUUGCUAGAAAUGCUGUAUUAGCAAUUUACUUUAAAGAAAGAUAUAUUAGUGCCAAAUGGUUCCCGAUAUUUUUGUUUAAGCCCGAUAUGCAUUCUUAUUAAAUCUGUAUUGGGGUUUAGUUUACUGGAAGAAAGGUGUUGGGUAAAUCCGUCUUGGGAUUUAGUUCACUGAAAAGAUGACCCAGUGAUACCAUGCAAUAUCUAACUAGAUGUUCUUUUGCUAAUGUAACAGGCAUUAACUCGUGCUAGGGUCCCUAUAGUAAAGCUUAUGGAUCCAGUGACUGAACUAUCAUGUGACAUAUGUAUAAACAACAUUUUGGCUGUUGUAAAUACAAAGCUUCUUCGUGAUUAUGCACAAAUAGAUUCAAGAUUAAGGCAGUUGGCUUUUAUUGUGAAGCACUGGGCAAAGUCCAGAGGAGUUAAUGAAACUUAUCAGGGAACCCUAUCCAGCUAUGCGUAAGUGCUCUUUUUAAUGCUAUGCUAGAAUGUUUAUAACCUAAUACGUCAACUUGUAAUCUCAGUAGCAGCAUUAUUAGAAGCUUGAUUGUGGUGUGGUUAUAGUAGUAGGACGUGUGCAUGGUUAUCGUGUGCAUGGUUAGUGCUUUGUUCAAAAUUACAAUGGGCAAGUAGUCUAAGUAGGACCUAUGGUUGGUGCAUUAUUAGAAGCUUGACUGUGGUGUGGUUAUAGUAGUAGGACCUGUGCGUGGUUAGUGCUUUGUUCAAAAUUACAAUGGGCAAGUAGUCUAAGUAGGACCUAUGAUGUUUAUUUGCUCUUUAUAAUAAACUAUGUCACCUAAUUUCUAUUGUCUCUUCAGGUAUGUUUUAAUGUGCAUUCAUUUCUUACAGCAGCGCGAACCUGCUAUCCUUCCAUGCUUGCAGGUAUGUAUUCUUAAAUUUUCUUUUUAUGUUUUUUAUUUUAAAAAAAUCUUUUUAUGUUUUACUUUUCUCUUCUCACAUGAAGCUUUUGUAUGUGAGCAUUGUAGAUGUCUUCCCUGCCUUAGUGAGUUUACUAGGACUACUAAUUUUCUUUUCAAAAAAGGAACUUACGGACCUAAAUUUUUUUUGGGGGUAGGAGUAAAGUUGGCCACAGCCAGCAAGGUUUGCAUUCGAGUCUUCCUUGUUGGGAGGCUAGGAUAUGGCAACUUGCAACACAAGGCCUUGGUCUAUGAAUUAAUAAUUACUUUCAAUGCGGCAAAUAUUUACUACAGCUCUUUCACAUUUGUGCUUGAUAAGUUCAUAAUUGUUAUGUGCUCCAAUAGUUAAUAAAUUCAAUUGGCUUUGUAAUUGUAUGCCAAGGAAAAAAAAAGAAAUGGAUAAAUCUUUUUUAAAAGACGGAAAACAAAGAAGAAAAGGAUUACUUUUAGAAAUAAAUGAAACUCAAAUAAUCUAUCACCUAGAAGAUUGUCUAUACAUGUUUGGUCCCUAAAGUGGAUCUUGCCAUGGGUUUGUUGUGCAGGGAGAAUCCUUCGAUCAAAUAGGACUUGUUAAUAGAGAACCCUUCCUUUUCUGAAUUUGAUAUCAAAUACACACUUCAUUGAAGAUAAAUCUUGCCUCUCAAUGCACUGCCAGAAUUGCUGUUAUGAGUCUUUUAAGGUGAACUGUAGUAAAAUUAUUAUUGGUCAACCUAGUUUUUAAGAGAUUCUCUCAUUGGAAAAUUUAGGAAGAAUGGACUGUAAUUUCAAAGAUGUGUAUUCUAGUAAGUAGGUGUGAUAGUUCUGUGGAAUAAUCUGCCAUAGGCAGGAGGGUUUUUGUGUUAAGUUUGUUUGGGUAAGUCAAACCACCGAUUGUGGAUGUUAUUUCAGUUGCUGGUGUUAGGGAGGAUAGUUUGUAUCCCCAAGUAGGCAGUUAGGCUGUAAUUUACAGACCUAUAUAAUUAGGUUAUGUUAUGUGAUAUGUACGCAGACAGUUUGUCUUAAAAGUUUCUUAAGUACUUGACUUAAGGAGAUAUUUAGGUUCUUUCUUGAGGAGCCUUAGUAUUCAUCUUCACCAUCAGUUUGAAGGGAAGAAAGUACCCAGAGAAAAUCUGGUUCAUCUUUGUAAGGAGCCUUGGCAUCCAUUUUCAGUGUAGCCAUUUCUUUACCUUUGUUUGCUUUUGUUCAGUUUGCCAAAGGCAUAAAGGUGGAACAUUUGCAGCCUGCAGGGCUGCUUCAACGCUUGCCCAUUCGUACCCAGAUUUGGGACCGGACAUUUUAAUGGAUUUUGUGGAUGCUUGCCUUUGUCCCAUGGAAAUAUGGUUUUUAUUGGUCUGGNNNNNNNNNNNNNNNNNNNNNNNNNNNNNNNNNNUGUCAGUGAUCAGGAUAUGACUUUCACUCGUAACUUUGGAAAGGAACUGUCCCAUUUGAGUGGUGUCAAGUUCUCAUUUUCUUGCUGCCUAUCGUUCCUCAAAUGAUAGUCAAACUGAAGUCUGUCAACCAUACUGUGGUGAUGUAACAUGAGAAAACCAGUGAUAGACCGAAGAAUUUGAUCGAUUCGGUAGCUCGGGCUGAGUCCAUUUAUAAUACAGGCUACCAUCUACCCAUACAACUCUGUUCAGGUUGUUUAUGGCCGCCUCCUUCCGAAUUACUAUCCUAUUGUGGUGGUUUCUCUCAAUUGGAUGUCAUAUGUGAGUUGUAAAUGUGAGAUGAGAUUAUUCUUGACUUACAGGAUUCACUGCAAGAAGCUCAGAAUGUCAUGAAGACUAGUUAUGAUUCUUUCUGUCAUGAUCUCAAUUUAAUCCCGGGAAUUUGGUACUCCUUUUUUUACAACCUUAUCACCAGAUUUCUUUAGGGUCAAAAUGCUCAUACAAGAUGUCUCCUAGUAUUAUGGGAUUUCUCGGUGAUGCAACAAAUUUACUCGGUGGCCUAUUGAUUGGAACACUCUACAUUUUCUAAACUGCAUCCUUUCUUCCAUGUUUCCUGUCAAGAAAUUCCAUGGACAGCCACCAGCUCUACCUGUAUCGCCUUUACUAGAUCAGGGUCUUCCAGUUCUUACUCCAAAAGUAGUGUCAGACUUUCGCACUCAUGGAGACAAUCAGGAAGCUCUUAUUUGCUGGGAUGCCUUAUCUCCUGCUGAAGAAUCAUUGGAAUUAGUAGGUCAGCUGCUGCUGCAUUAUCCUAAUUGUGACACGCACAUUUUCAUGGAGGAGAAUAUUGUUAACAGGUCCUCUUGCAGGUGAACCAGGAAUUGCUUGGUCAACCAAGUUUACAUAAUUUACCAAGUAGUUUAGAGGUCCUCAUGGAAAUUUUGGAAGAAUUAACUGCAUUUUGAAGGAUGCAUAUUUUACCAAGUAGUUGUGGUAGUUGUGUGGGAAACUGUCAUGGAAGGAGGGUUCUUAUGUUAAGUUUGUUUGAAUAAGUGAAACUAUGUGUUCGGAUUUUUUGUUUUUUUUGGGGGGGGGGGGGGGUUGGUUGUUGCAUUUUUUUAUCCCUAAGAAGGCAGUUAGGUUGUCAGUUAGGUUCUAAUUGACAGACAUAUAAUUGGGUUCUGUUGUAUGACAUAUAUGUGGAACGUGUCACCUUCGCGAUAAGUUUCUAAGGGAAGAAAAAACCAGAGAAAAUAUGGUUCAUCUCUAACAGCUUUCAACCUCUAGGGAACCGUAACUGGAUCCUUCUGUACCUGUCUUCUCUAGGACAAGAUAAAAACCUCCCUAAAGGAUAGGUAACUUCCGUAAUUGAUUAAACCAAUUCAUACAUCUAAUAUAGAGUAACUGUAAUAAUAAGGACAGAAAGUUGGACAGUCUGCCGUAGAUCAGAUAAAUUAAAAAAAACUGUCUGCAGGAGAUUCUGUAUGGAGCUAACAAACUCUCUGUAAGAAAUAAUAUUUCUUGCUCAUGCUUCCAUCUGCAAACCUUAAUAAUUUUACUAUAGUGGAUAAUAACAGUACCAUUCCUGUCGAUUUUAUUUAAAUUUUCAUUUUUUUCUCCUGUUCUCCCUGAAUGCUGCUUUGAUUGACCAAAACAUGUGAUAGAUUACAGAUCAGGUUCAGCUUUUCUAGCUCAAGUACAUCUAAGGUUUGCUUGCUCACUAAUCUUUCCAUUUUUACUCGAGUACUAUUCUAUAUUGAUUGUGUAGCUAAAACAAUAAACUCUCGAGGAAAACAUGAUUUUUGAUUUUGUCUAAUGUGCGACUAAAAUGCAUUGCUGUGUAUUUGAUGUGGACCAAUGUACUUUUGUCAUGUUUCUUUUGGGUACAGUGUAUGUGGAUUAUAUCAUCUGAAAAGUGUUUGCUGUCGUUGUGUAGUCGGAUGGUAUUUGAGGUGUUUUUCUUCGUCUCUCUAAUCUGUGCAUACCAAUUAUAUUUCAGGGUAUGGAGGUAACUUACUCUGUUACCAUAGAAGAUGUUGAAUGUGCUUUUUUCGACCAAGUUGAAAAGCUUCAAAAUUUUGGAUCCCAUAAUAAGGAAACUAUUGCUCAGUUGGUAUGGGGUUUUUUUAAUUAUUGGGCAUAUUGUCAUGAUUAUGCAAAUUCAGUCAUAUCUGUCCGAACAGGAAGCAUAAUCAGGUGAGUUUCCAUUUGCAUAAUUGAAGGAUUUAUACUUGUUUGGAUGCUAUAGAGGAUUUUGUUCAUUAGUAAGAUUGAUUGAUGAAUAAUAGAAUUUAUAAGUUUAUCAAAUAUUUGAUAUGUGUGAUUGGUCUUUGUUCUAGUUGGUUUGCUUCACAAGAUGCUGCUUCUAGUAGUAACCUAUCUCCAUGUAUUUGCUUCGGGCUUAUGUGAUAGGGGUCUUAAAAGUUUUUUUUUUUUUUUUAAAAAAUGAAAAACAUGUCUAAAAAUUGCUUACUUUUUCAGCAAGCGAGAAAAGGACUGGACAAGGAGGAUCGGAAAUGAUCGACAUUUAAUAUGCAUAGAGGAUCCAUUUGAGAUAAGUCAUGACCUGGGUCGAGUGGUAGACAAAUUCAGCAUAAAAGUUCUGAGGGAGGAGUUUGAACGUGCUGCCGAAAUUAUGCAGUAUAACCCUAAUCCUUGUGCAGCUCUUUUUGAACCCUAUAUUCCCGGUUAGAUAGUACUUAAAUUUUGGGUAUAUCAGAUGUAAUUAUGUAGUAAAUAAUUGAGUAUGUAGAGUUCCCAGAGCGGGCUUUGCGAUAUGUAUUCAAGGGUUUUUUUUUUCUUUCUUCUAAAUUAUCUUGGGGCUGUAUGGGCUCCUCGGUAAAUAACAAGCUACUGGGUUUUAUCGUAGAAUAUCUCCAAUUAAGAUUUCUAGUUUGUUGCUUAUUUUAUAUGCCAUUCUCAACAACUUGGGGGGGGGGGGGGAGGUACCAUGUCCAUGGCCAUGGGAAGACCGUCAAAAGUGUCUUUGCUUUUAUUUUAACAAGCCCGUUUUGAUUAAUAAAGCCAACUUAUUAGUCGUUAUGUAAUAUAUAUAUUUUGUUUGCUUGCUUGCUAUAAUGAAAUUCAAUUUGGUUUGGUUUCGUGUCUUAUUUUGAAGUGGAGAUCACAUGCACUAAUUUACCAAAUACAUUUUGGUUGCUAGUAGGGUGGCCUCUAAAGGAAUCAAUGCCGGGUGGGGAGAUUUGGGGAAAGAUGGUGAUGCGUAUGUAGUUAGUUAUAUGGUGCCGAAUGUUUUUCAGGUAUUUGAGGUUUUGAAACAUACUGGAUGAUAUUUUAGUGGUCGGCAUUGUCCCUUUCAUUACGUAGUGCAUUUGUAUAUUUUAAAGUAGUUAUGGCCAACCAAUGUCACAUCAUACUACUCUCUCCUGUUGCCAUAGCUCAUCAGUGACGCCAACAUUGUGUUUUUAUCUUGUGAAUCAGCAUAAUUAUAAAUUUAUAUAUAAAUAUAUAUAUAUAUAUAUAUAUUACCUCUUUCUGUUUUCUUAUAUUAUAAUAAUAAUAAUAAUAAUAAUAAUAAUGUGGUCGCACCAGUUUUAGAGUUGUUUUAUUUUUUCCUAUUUGACCAAUUACUUUCUUCUACGUGGGAAAAAAAAAAAAAAAGUGUUGGAGACCUGGUCCAUGGAGCUUUCGUUAAUUUGUGUCUAAUGCAAAGUUGAUAAUUAUAAUUAUGCUCUCUCCCUUCAAGGCUUUAUAUAUAUAUAUAUAUAUAUGCGUGUGUGUUUUUAUAGAUGUAUGUACGUAUGCUUAUACCUUGUACUGUUCAUCAUCAAGAUGAGAUUUUAUACUGCACGAAAGCAAUAAUGGUGUUCACCAUCAUUCAACUACAAAAACAAAUGGCUGACUAUAUAUACAUAUAUAUAUAUAUGUAAAUACACACAAGGGAUUGAAAAGAGAGAACCAAAGUUGUUGGUUUGACUUUUGAGAAACAAUGUUUAGAACACAUAAAGAGCUAUAUCGUGGGAUACACACACGCAAAGUCAACCCAACAACUUAAAAGUCUCCUUUUUUAUAUAAAUAAAAAAACCAGCUUUCUUCUUUUUUUUUUUAAUUAAAAAUCAGUACAAAAAAUAAUUACUUUAAAUUAACUACAUAAAAAUAUAAAUUAAUUUUAGACAAUUUAUUUAUUCAAUAGAAACAUAUUAAAAUUAAUUUAAUAUUAAAAAAAAUUGUUAUGAGCAUCGAUAUAUAUAUAUAUAUAUUUUGAAUUAAAGAAGAAAAAAUCCGACUAAUUAUAAUCAGAAUUAAUUUUUUGAUUUAGAGUUAUCCAAGAAACAUUUUUUCAGUACAGCCUUGUCUUACUUGUAUGUAUUGUUCUAAUUUGUCUUAUUUCAAGACAAAACACAAAACAAAAGAUGCACUUAACUCAAGCACUUGUUUACAAACAACUGUGUAUGUACAUGUGUGUUUAUAUAUGCACUUGUUUACAACUCCUCUGUGUGUGUGUGUGUGUGUGUGUGUGUGUGUCUAUAUAUAUAUACACACACACAUGGAGCAAAAAAAAAAAAAAAUAUAUAUAUAUAUAUAUAUACAAUUAGAGACAGGUAUGACGCAAGGGUGAAAUCAAUUAGAUUCCCAUAAAUUUGUUCUUCGACCUCCCCGAUGAACACUUUUGGCACUUUAUGAUGUACGUUUCCUUAAUUAAUUAUAGUAUUUUCAAGCCAAUUAUUUUAUAUUUUUGAAAAAUAAUUUUAAAUACAUUUUUUUAAAAUUAAUUUAGUUAGUCUUAUCUUUACUCUUAAAAUAGAAUACAUUCAAAAUCAAACUCAUAUUAUCAAAGAUAAGAUUACCUUAUUAUUUUUUUACUCUUUCGUGAGAUUCAAUAUCCAAAUCCUAUUUUUUAUGAUUCAAACUUAUAUAUAUAUAUAUAUAUAUAUAUAUAUAUAUAUAUAUGUGGAUUUUGUAUAUACUUUCCUUAAAAUAUUACUUAAUAUUAUUAUUAGUUAACAACUGAGACUUAAUUAUUUAAAUAUAUGAAGUUUAACCACAAUAACUUUUUACUAUUAUUAGCAUUUUUAAGCCAAUUAUUUUAUUUAUAUACAUAUAUAUAUAAAUUAUCUUCUUGAAAAAUAAUUUUAAGGACAUUUUUUAAAAUUAAUUUCAUUAAUCUUAUCUUUAUUCUUGAAACAGGAUAGAUACAAAAUUAAACCCAAAUCAUCAACACAUAAAUGUCUUAUGAUAAUUUUUCUUUUUUUAAUGAGAUUAUGGAUUCAGAUUGGAUAAUACAUUUCAUCUAAUCUAUAGAUUUUUUGUAUAUUCUCAUAAAAAUGUUGAUUUUAUACUAUUUUAAAAAUAUGCCUCCACUAAACCCAUAUCAAUAUACAUAUAUAUCUCUCUCUAUAUAUAUAAUAUACAGGGGCAGCUCCUUCUCUGUGUGUGUAUAUAUACAUUAACCUCUCUUCUUUUAAUUCAACUCAAAGACUUGACCAUCAUCGCCAAAUAUUUCAACAGAAACAAUGUCUCCUGCUCAGAUUCUUCCGGUUCAUGCAGAAACCAACACGAGAUCAAAAUAUGGGGAAGGUUAUUCAAUAGUUUUCGACGCGUCGGUGAUCCAAUCAGAAUCCAAUAUACCCUCCGAAUUCAUAUGGCCGGACGAGGAUCAGCCAAGCCCAGACCCACCGGAGCUCGACGUUCCUGUGAUCGACCUCGCAGACUUCUUUUCUGAAGACGAGGAGACCAUUUCCAGAGCUUCGAAGCUUCUGAAUGAAGCAUGCAAGAAGCAUGGAUUCUUUGUGGUGGUCAACCAUGGGGUGAAGCGGGAGAUUGUGGCGAAAGCCGAGAAGUACAUGGACUUGUUCUUUGGGAUGAAGCUGAAGGAGAAGCAAAGGGCGCAGAGAAAGGUGGGAGAAAGCCUUGGAUAUACAAGUAGUUAUACUGGUAGAUUCAACAGUAAUCUUCCAUGGAAGGAGACUUUUACGUUUACAUAUUCCGGCGAUCCUGAAAAAACCAACAUUGUCCAAAAGUAUAUCGCAGAUACACUCGGUGAAGAUUUCACAGAAUUCGGGUAAGAAGAAAGGAUCUCCAUUUAGUUUUUAACCUAAAUCUUUUUCUUUAAUAAAAAAUAAAAAUAUUUUACGAAACAGUUAAUACGGACAAAUAAUAAUAUAAUUAAAAUAUUUAAACAGCAACCUAAUUAAUUAAUGAAUUAAUAUUCAAGGAUGCAAACAAAUAGAAUUAAUUAUUGUCACGACAAAAACAAGACAGAUGAAAUAAUUCAAUAACUCCUUUACUAUAAUCAUGCAUGCAUCCAAUAUUACGAUGUGGUGCUUCAUAUGGAUAUAACAUAUGCUGGCAUUGGUGGAGAAUUAAUGUUUUCUUUCCCAAAUGGAAUAUAUAUUUGAAUUUGAAAAAAUAAUUUUUCGAACAAUAUCUAGUUUUACAACAUUAUCAAUAUCGGUAUAUUUCUCAAAUCAUAAUCGUUUAAAGUGAUCAUAUUUUUCAAUAACGUACAAACGUACGUACGUACGUACAUAUAUAUACAAUAUAUUAUAAGGUAUUUAUCUUCAUUUCUUGACUUAACUAUGAUUCGUGAGUAAAUUAGAAAGGUGUACCAAGAAUACUGUGACGAAAUGGGGGAACUGCUGGUUGCGAUAUUGGAGGUGUUAGGGAUGAGUCUAGGCAUUGGGAAGGAGUUCUUGAAGGAAUUUUAUUCAGAUCAUGAGUCUCUGGUUAGAUUGAAUUACUACCCACCAUGCCAGACGCCAAAUUUAACCCUAGGAACUGGGCCUCAUUGUGAUCCAACCUCCAUAACAAUCCUCCAUCAGACCAAAUCGGCGGCCUUGAAGUUCUCUACGAUGGAAAAUGGCAGAACGUUCGCCCCAUUCCAAAUUCUUUUGUCAUAAAUAUUGGCGACACCUUCAUGGUAAAACAUUAUCUAUUUUUUUUUAUAAAAAAAUACCUCUUAAUUCAUUAUUAUAAUAUUGAUGUAUGUAUGUCUGUAAAUGCAGGCUCUAUCAAAUGAUAUAUACAAGAGUUGCUUACACAGAGCAGUCGUGAACAGUCGGUGUGUGAGGAAAUCUAUUGGGUUCUUCGCGAAUCCAAGAGCAAACAAGGUGGUGACGCCACCGCUGAGCUUGGUUACAGCUGAAAAUCCAAGAGUAUAUCCAGAUUUUAACUGGGAGACUUUUCUUAACUAUACGCAGAAAUAUUAUCGACCUGAUAUAAAAACUCUUGAUGCAUUCAGCAAUUGGCUCCAAAAGAAUGCCACCGUUUGAGAAAGUUUUCUCAAAGAAGAAGAAGAAGAAGAAGAAGAAGAAGAAGAAGAAGAAGAAUAAGAAGAAAAACUUCCCACAAAGCAGAAUGGCUCUAUCUUUUGAACUCUGGACUCUCGUAUCUUUCCUUUUUAUGUGUGUUUUAUUUUGUAAUAAAGAUUCUAUUUUUCAGAGAAAAAAAAAAAAAAAGAAGAGAAGAAGAAGAAGAAGAAGAAGCAGACUCAUUUAUGUUUCUCAUGCUCAUGUUUGACUUGUAAAAAAUGAAUAAAUGUAGGGUUUUUCAAGCUUUCAGUAUCUGUGUUCUUACAUGUCUGAUAAUAGCUGUGCGUGUGUGUGCGUGUGUGUGUGCAUAUAUAUAUAUAUAUAUAUAUAUAUAUAUAUAUAUAUGUAUAUACCGUAUGUAUUUUAGCAAAUACAAGAAAUAAAGGAAGCUGGCAUAUAAGACUUUGGCAUCAAAAUCAAACUAGUGGCAGCACUAGCACAUUGCUCCAGCUUCAGAAAUCAAUGGUUAAUUAUUUUUUAAAAAUCUAUGAACUAAAAUGUCAAAUAUAAAAAGGUCAAUGACAGAACUAUUUAAAUUACACGAAAAAUAAUUGUUGUUGAGCUAUGUAAACAAUUCAUCUAAACUAUACAGCAUAAAUUAAAACAAACAAAAUAAUAUAUAUUAUAUAUUCAAUAAUUUAAAUAAAAAAUAAAAAAUUAACUACUACUACUUAAUUGAAUACGUAAUAUAUUUAUUUUAUUUAUAAAAAAUUAUGAGUUUAAAUUAAAUUACUAUUAUAUAAAUUUUUAUUAAAAAUAAAAGAAAAUGUAUAUAGUAAUUUUUUUUUUUUGAAGUUAUAAUAAAUUAUUUUGGUGAAACUGUAAUUUAAUGUUAGUGUUGGAGGGAAUCAUAUAUAUAAAAUGAAAGAAAUUUGGGAAUAAAUUAAAGAGCCUAAUGGCUUCCAAAACCUUUUCUUUUUUGUAAUUUAUAUUCCCAAGCCUCCAAAUACAUAUCACUUAACCCCGAAACCAACAAAACAAAACAAAAAAAAAAAAAAAGUGUAGAUUACAAGUAGAAGUACUUGGAAUUACUGUUCAAAAGUAUUAGAAUAUAUUUUGAAAACAAGUGUGUGUAAAAUCAUUGAGCCCCACUCUCUUGGAAUGCACUAGUAUAGAAAUUCAGAAUAAUUCUGAGCAAAUCAAUCAUCAAUCACACCAGCAUUGUGGUAGACAAAUCUUGAAAUCACCUUUUGGAACCAGCUCAAUUCUGACCCUCCCCACCACUUCAAACUAUUGCAGUCAAGGCCCUCAUCAUCACCGUACCUAUUUUGCCUACUCCAAACUUCCAUUCCCAUUUUAACAAUAUAUCAACAAAAACUACUUCAAAUAAUAAUAUAUUUCAGUCAUUCAAGAGUCUACCGUAAAACUCAUUAUUUUAUUAUAAAAAUGACAAGACAAGAAAAAAAAAAAAACAAAACACAUGGAAUUAUUACCUUCGGUAUUACCCAAAAGUGAAUUCAUCAGGGUACAUGGUCUAUGAAACCGCUAAACUAAUUUGACAUUAGAAUAAGGGUAUAACAACAUUGGUUUGACAAGAUUCUCAAAGCAAACUGACCGAAUCCCUCUUGUUCGCAUACAAUGCAAUCACAUCAUGUUCACUGCAUCCGUACAGAUUGUAGGGUUUAUUUUAAAGAUAAUGGGAAACAGGGGCGAUCCAUUUCUGAUUCAUUGUAUCAAGAGUUGAGAUAGAAAAAGAAAAAGGUUCGUUUUAAGUGGGCAGCAACAGAUUUUUGUGAAGGAGAAGGAAAUUAGAAUAUGCACAGCUAGUUAUUUCACAGAUACCAAAUUGUAUCACAUCCAAAGGUCAAAUGCCACAAAAAGCAACUACAAAUAGAAGAUCUGCGGAAAAGACGAGAGCAAAAGAGAAAUUCGGAAUAAAACAAAAACGAUGAUGAACCGUGUAUUCGGCAUAAUACGAGGCACAAGUGGAGAUUAGCACUCCUUCCUGUUUAUUGCACUUUUUGUUAGAAGUGGGUGAUCCAAACAGAAUGCUCUACGUACAUUUAAAUGCCUUCCUACUCUACUAUCAGCUCAUGUUACUAAUCCCCCCCCCCCCCACACACUCCUGCAGAGAAGUUAAAAGUGAAUAAUGAGAAAAGUCAGAGGCCCAACCCAUUCUUACCAAUGAUGCUUUGAAAAUUUUAAAUAUGCCUGCAAUGACUGUAAAGUCCUGUGUGAAUGUUCCCGUGUGAUUGGUUGAGAAAGCAACUGCCCACUACAACAUUUCAAGCAGCUCUUCUAUAAUAGUUUGUAUUAAUUAGUGCUGUUGAGAAUUACUUAGUCAAACUGCUUUUUAGUUAGUAUGUUAAUCUGGUAAAUUUGAUUAAUUCACAACCAGCCCAUAAUUAACUAUUGUUAGUUAGUUAACUCUAAAAUAGGUUUAACUAAUGUUGUGUAAUUCUAUUAUAAACACACGUGUAUAAAUAAGAAGGGGAAAGACAGAGAGAAGCAUUAACUCCUCUUCUUUGUUCCAGAACUUUUCGUUCAAAUAAGAAAAUCUUUCACCUCACCUCUGUUCAUGGUAUCAGAGCUCAGGUGAGCAACGUAUUAGAAUAGUGGUGUUCAUAAUGCAUCCGGAAGAGUAUUGACAACUACUAUUUCAAGCGGAAGUCCCAGAAUUUCUCUGGUGACAGCGCCCUUCAGUGGAAUGAACCAUCGUACAUGGAGCAAGUCUGUAAAAAUCGUUUUGGCAGCCAAACAGAAACUGGGGUUCAUAAAUGGAAAGAUUAGCAUGUCGCCAGAAGACUCUGUGGAGUACAAAGAUUGAUUCACAGGAUACGCGAUGGUGAUAUCGUGGAUUCUAGACUCGUUCCACGACGCAUUUUUCUGUGUAAAUUCGGCUCAAGAACUGUGGGAAAAGUUGAAGAAAAGGUUUGGAGUAUUUAAUGGUCCACAGGAGUAUCAAUUGAAGAGAGAGCUGGGUUCAGUAUCUCAAGGUAACGACUCCCUCACAACAUAUCAUAUCCAUUUAGUUUGAACUAGUUCCAUGGAAAAAAAAAAUCAUUCCAAGAUUGGCAACAGAUGUAUUUCUCCUCAAAUAGUCAUAAUAUAGUAACACCAGUUAACAGCAGAAUUUCUUCAAAUCAAAUGAGUAACUGUCAGGUGAAGAGGUAUUCACAUACUUUGUCCUUCUGUCUCCUCAGACUUAAAAAAGAAAUCAUUUGAUGUUUUUCAGAAGUUUACUAUUACAGAUUUGCUAUCAUGUCCCAAUGGGUUGUUACCAAAAGAACGAAUUUAACGAAUUAGAAAGAAUAAUAAGCAAUGUGGGAUACAGAGAUGGAAGUGCAGCGGAGAAAGCUAAGAUACAUCACUUCCUCGAGCGCGCACACACACACACACACUGGAGAGAGAGAGAGAGAGAGAGACAGAGAGCUUUUGACUGUACCUUAAAAGUUUUAUUAUCUCAUUCAUUCACUUAAGUUGCAGCUACGGAGAUAAGGAUGGUCAUACUUUAUGUACUUUGUCCAGUAAGGCCGGUAUUUUGUCAUUGCCAAUUCUAGCCAUGGUUUCAUAUUGCCAUUAUAAUGGAUGACUGCUGCAUUUUCAAUAUCCUUCUUAUCAAUGCUUGGAUUAUAACCCAACCCAAGUACAUGCCAAGACUUUUCAAGCGGGUGCGUUAACCGAUAGAAAGUAAUAAGUCCUGGAGGCAGUGUUCCGAGCUUCCAGAGCACUCUGUCUUCAUUCUGCCAUCAGCAUAAAAGUAAGGAAACACAAAAUUAAUUUUGAAUAUAAGUGCACUUUUUCAAAGAAGAAAUGCAAUCAAUGGAAUGGGCAGGUUUACCAAAAUGCAAAAGAAUGGGAUCCUCUAAUUACUCUACCCAAAGAUCAUCAGAUGUGCAUUUUUUUCCUUUUAAUUUAAUGCACGGUACUAAAGGUCCAAAUUUGGCGCCAGUUAUAGAAAACAAACAAAAAUUUUAAUUCAGUUAGAUAAUCGGGUUUAGUAAUUGAUUUUCAUAAAUAGCACCAAAUAAGUUUAUUAUUUAUGGAUAAGAUAGGAAUCUAAAAUUAUUUUUACCCAAUUAUCUUUAUCUUCGUAUUCCAUUUCAUUCUUGCAAUUUUGGCGACUCAAUGCAUGAUUUUUUAAAAAAAAAUUUGAUAUUUCUUAAUGCAUUAACCACACUAAAAGUAUUAACUUUUAGAAUUCUUUUUAAAUUAUCAUGUAAUGCAUUAUGAAUGAUUUUAUAAUAAUUUCUUUUAUUGCUGAAAAAAAAAAUAGAUUUUUGAUAUUUCAGAAAAACCAAAAACUAACCAAUAAAGCAAGCUUGGUAGUUUUUGUGUGCAGCCCCCAUUAUUUUAGAAAUAAUACUCUACUCUGGAUGCGUGGGUAAGUCUACUCUAGAUGCGUUGACAUAUUUAACAAAAUAAGCUUCCCUAAUAACUCUUUCUGAUGACAUAGCUAAAUCCAUGCUAUAACUACACUCAGCCAAUAAUGAAGGUGCUCUGUCUAGACUCAAAAGUAGUGCUAAAGCUAUCUAUUAUAGCAUUGCUAACUCCAGUAAGGUAAGCAUGUUGAUUUUAUUUGUGUGUACAAUUAUGGAAUGAGAAAAGAUAUGGGAUAAGAAAAUCACAUGCAAAAUGAGAAAUAUUUUUGCUUAUCUCUCACUUCAGCAAUUUUGGCAAUUAACGUGUUUGUAUGUACGAAGUUAUGGUGCAGGAAUAAGAGAAAACAUGAAAUCAGAAGGGAGGUUGCCAAAACUAACCAUGUUUUGCCACUUGUGAUAUAUGCCAGUGAUAUCCUUCUUUUUCCACUCCUUCAGAUCAAAAAUAUUCAUUCCAUAUGCCCAUCCACAAGCAUUUGGAUCAAAAUUUCUUGAAAUAUGAGGAUUUGAAAAGUUUAGAUACUUGUCAAAACGAUGAAAGCUUUCACCACAGGUUUCCACUGCACCGUUUACUUUUCCAUGGAGAUCCAAUGACCAUAAUGGAGUUAAAUCUUUCUGAACAACAAUGUCAUCAUCAAGAAACAGGAUUUUAUCCAACUUAGGGAUAUACCUGUGGCAGGUAGAACCUUAAGUGGUUAAGCAUAGAGAGAUACUUUGGGUUCCGAUACUUCAGAUUUGAAGAGCCAGAUGAAAGAGUGGUUGGGUGAUCUGCCUUAAAAUAAUACUCUUUCAUUGCUACAGACUCGAGUUGCCGUAGAACAGGGCAGUAAGAUGAGUUGAGCCACUUAAAUUCAUCCACAUUUUCCACAUGGAUGGUGGCCUUUCCAGGCGGAUUCAAGAGAAACCACAUGUUCAUCGCACCAAAGUUAAGUCUAUCGGUCACAAGAUGGAAAACAUGCUUUGAAGGAUCCUGCAAAUUCCCAAGGGAACAUUUAAUAGAAGACAACAAAUUAACUCUAGCAUUAUUGGAUUCAUAAGGAGCAGAAGAUGAUACAAAAACAGACGGCUGAGGAAGAUAAAGGAAAACAUGUGGACCAGCUCUUUUAAGAGCUAUCAUUACAUUACCUUGGCAUUGGUGAUGGUUGAAUUGACAACAACCGAUGCAGCCAAUACAUUAUCAGAGAACAAGGCAUAAUGAUGGAGAUUAGGAUUUUCCAAAUUCUCACUUCUAGGGAACUUUCUCUUUUCUGGAGGGAGGAGAUAGUAAUCUAUGGUCAAACGCAUAGACAAGCAAUGGAUAGCAUUAGGAAUUGUUUUGGCAGCUAACUGAGACAGGAAAGUGCUCUGCUUUUUCAAGCUUCUAACUUGUUCAUCUGCUGUCUGAAGCAUUGCCCUCAGUUUCCCGGUAACCAAUUUGCAGUCAUACAAUUGCGCCCUUGCUUUAGACAGAACUUGGCCCAUAGCUUUGAUCUUUUCAGGGGCACUAAACACGAAAAUCAAGCACAACACAAAGUUAAAAGUGCCUGACAGAACCACACUACCAAGAACAGAAUGAAAUUUGCAUAAUCAUGUGCGCUCAGGCAACGAAACCCUAGAUACCUAUGAUGUAGAUCAGCAUCCGCAGUUGCCUCUCCUACAGCACGCUGACUUUCUUUUAGUCGAGUCUGUAGUUCUUGAAGCAAUUCCGGCUUGUCCUUUAGCUUUGCAAUGCUCAAAUAAACCUUUGCCAUUAUGAUUUGAUCCCUUAUCAAGCGCACUGUUGAAUCAGAGUUUUCAUUCUCAUUUUCCUUUCUCCAUAUAUUAUACUUGCCCAGGACUGCAGAGUCCACUGAUUUAGAGCGCUCAAUCGCUGCAUUUUCAAGUUUUACAACCGCCUCAUCAUCUUGUUGCACCAACUCAGCCGCUCGUUUUUCACGUUUUUUAUCUCUUAAUUGCUGCAUCUCAUUAAAAAGAACAACUUAGAAACCAAUAUAACUAUUGCCAUAAUUGAAUCACUGAUUUAUUAUUGUUCACUUUUUUAAAGAAACUGAUACUGUUACACCAGAAAGGGCAUAUAGAGAAGAAAAAUGGAAUCGUUUCAUUUUAACUACUACAGCUUGCUCAGCCAACUUCAACCAAGGAAGCACAGAAGCCAAAAAAUAAUUAGUACGUAUGAUUGAUUCAAGAUUGCAAUUACCCUUCGGAAUAUCUUCGCAGGUGUAUCAGUGAAUUGACGACCAUCAUCUACAUUAAAUAACCAGGUCAGCAUGCGAUUGAGAAAGUAUCAAAACCACAUGAAGAUUAAUCAAGUAAUACAAGUCAUUACCUUGCAAUGAAUUAUUUUCUUUUUCUUUCGAGGUUCCUUGUUUGACAUCUGGAACUGUUUGGUUUGGCUUUAAGCAUGAACAAUCCAAAGACACCGCUAGAUCAGCAACCAUCAGAGGAAAUAAAUUAUCCAGUGGACAAAUUUACAAAACAUAAGCAGUUUGUCAUCCUUACCUGUGAGGCAAUAUUACUCUCAAAUGAAGGCUCUACUCCAACAACUUUCCAUGACGCAGAUAAAUUUGUUUUUCUAAAAGAAUCAAGACUUAAAGGUCCCAAAUUGGCAGUGCUGACAGUUAUGAUAUCAAGGACCUACAUUUUGUUUAUUUAAUAGGUAUCAGGUACAAAUAAAUAUGACUCAAAUUUAUCAUUUAAAAAAAUAUAACCAAGAUUUCACCAGAAUGCACUUGCCUCUUUUGAGAAAAGGGGUUUAACAAACUGCAAAGCUAACCUCUCUCUCCAAUCUAGAUUCUGCAACACAACCAAAUUUCUUCCCCAGUCACGUAAUUAGGAAGCAACCAAAACAUAAACAGUACAGACAGAAAGCUCUCAAGAAGGUACCUGCUUGCUCAGCCCAGUAUGAGUAUAAUUUCUAUCUGCACCACAGCACAAGUAAAUGAGGAUCAGUUCAAGCACAGGACCUUGAAAUCUAUAGCUACAUGUCUGUCGACCUUCUUCCUAUAAUUCCCCAGCAAUGAUCAAACACAGAUCUAAAAUCUUGAAACACAAUGAUGCGUGUGUGUGUGUGUAUAUACAUAGAAACACAUACACAUAGACAUAUACACAUAGAUACUUUGAGAUCAAAGAGCACCAAGAGGGUCUUGACCAGGUAGAAAAGAAACAUGCAAAUGGGUAGAAUUAUGGGCUAGUCAAUAAGUCCAUGCACUAUGUUGUCUCAUAAAUCUUCCGCCAAAUUAAGCGGAUGACCAUUGAAGAAAAAAAACAAGGGGUGUCGAACCAAAAAUGCUAAACUCUAUAUAUCCAAAAGAAAACAUCCUCAAAGGCUUUUCUGUUCUUUUGCUUCCAAAUAAACCAAAAGUAGCUAGAAAGAUAAGAGAGCAAAGCUUCUUCCUUCUCUUAUCCACUAUGAUGCCUCACCACGCCGACAACUCUUUUGCCACUAAACAAGCCAUGAUCUAAUGCACUUUUAAGAGAUCCAAGGUCUAGACCAUAAAACAUAUGAAGCGACACGUCUUAAUAAAAGAUGGUCCAGCAUCUCCACAGCAUUCCUGAACAGAAAACAACAAACACCAGAAUCUUAUCUUUUUUGGUGAGAUUGUCAAUAGUCAGGAUACACCCAUUGGCAGCUUCCAGAGCAAUAAAAGCAAUUCUAGAACAAGUAUUUUUCCUCCAAAUCUGCUUCCAUGGGAAAACGAAAGGACAUGGGGAGGGGCGAGUGAUGUGGACAUAGAAUGACUUUAUCAAAAAGUUGUUUUAUAUAUAAUAUAUAUAUCAAACAAUUUAAUAUUUAUCAAGUUAUCCAAAUUUCUAUAUGUAUGAGUCCAGAACAUGGAUGUAGGUUUUUUAACAAAUAAAAUAACAAGAGAAACUUGAAUAUUGAAGCUUUGCCCUGAAAAAGAGAAGAAAGAAUAUAGUGUCACUCACAAAUAACAUAAGUUAGAGAAUUGAUCUAGGAAGUCAAAGAUGACAAAAACAUAUGUUAGGAUUCUAGAGAUUCAUAUCACAGCAGCAGUAUGCUUAGGACAGUGUCCCAAGUCCAACUUAAACAGAACUCUUCAGAAUACUAUUUGUUCCAGAAAUUCAAGUUGUGAUCCUUGUGCAUGAUAGGGAGACUAGAUGAAUGAAGCGGACGGAUCUGCCAACUAACUUCUAGGUUUUUUCCUUUUAAAGGGGAGGCGAGGGGAUACUGUGAUUCUGUCCCAGGCUGGAAGACAGGGAUUGAACUCAAAAUGAGUUUGGCCUUGUUUCCAUCAUUUGUCAGUAACCGUCUAAGAAAUUAAUUUUGGAAAAGCAAUUAACAAAUGCCAGAGCAGCUGCAGUUCAGCCAAACAAGCAAUACAGGCAAAAGUUGAAAGAUAAACUGGAAAAAAAAGUGUUCAAAGAAAAAGAUAGUUGAAAUUGAGAGACAGUAAAUGUGGUCUAGAUGAUGGGCCGAAUGCUACGGGAAUAUGCAAAGAACUCUACUGUCAUAUUUAAACAGGGCAAGCUUCUUUCAACAUGACAGUAGGAACGAGUAGCACGAACAAAAACCAACCGGAACCUUAAAAACCUGUUGAACUGAACUUACUAGGGAGACUGGUUCAGUUUGUCCAUUUAAACGAGUUAAAAACCAGAAAAUCAUAUCCUUAAACAGUUUGGCUUUGGUUCCCAAAUUUAGGAACUGAACUGACUAAAAAACUAAUUAAGGUUUUUCUUUUUCAAAAAAUUAUUGAUCACAUAUAUAUAUAUACCGCUUUAGGGUUUUAAUGCACCUUCGCCCUCCUCCAAAUUCAAAAACCCAUUCACUUACCCACAGCCAAAGGCUGAGCUGCCUCAGCCCAAGGUCGAUCAUGCACAAAAAUCCCUCACCUCUCGCCUGUCAGCUCUCUGCCUCCAUCCAAGCAUGCAUGACUACUUGCCUCUAUGCACUGCACAAAUGCACCACCAGACCUCUCGCCUUUCUGCUCUCAGCGUUGCAAGCAUGAGUCAUAGGGUUAUAAAUUUUGAAAAAAAAGUCAUUUGGUUAAUAAUGGAACCAACCAAUUCUCUUUUGAUCGAUUCAGUUUCCAUUGAUCCAUAUGAUUAGAUCAGUUAUGAUGAUUCAGUCAGUUUGUUCGGCUUUAUAAAUUUUUUAACUGAACCAACAAAAACUUACCCCUAUGAAUGAGCUAACUAGAGAGGUUUUUCUUUCAAGGAAAGUAGACAGGUGAACUGAUCAGGCAUAACUUAGCACAACAUCAUUAGUUUCCUUUCACUCAUUUCUUCACCUUUAGGAGCCUUCAAUAGUUACCCACAUGCUCCUUAGUAAAUAUGAUGUAGGACAAACUAAUGCUAACUUGCAUACUUUGAUAUUUAGGGGCAACAACAUGCAUAUUAUACCUAGUGUUUCUUACAUAUCAUAUAUAAGAAGUCUUAAGCACCACUCAAGGAUUUGAUUGUACAAACUGAAAAUUACAUUUAUAAUGUUUUCCAGCUAAAGCUUCACAAAUAAGAUGCAAUUAAGAAAUAUCAAUAUUAAUUAUUUCAAAGAAAAAAGAAAUAUCAGUAUUAAUAGAAUUAAGAAAUAAUACUACUAAUAUAAACAGAAAAAAUAAAUACUAAUAAGAGUGAAAUACUAAAGUUAUUGAAACCAUAAUAGUAGAUUCCUAAUAGUAAAAUAGUCUUAUAUUCAAUAGAAUUAUGCUUUCCAAUCUAUUUAAUAGAAUGAUAAUAUUCUCAGUCCUUACCGUAAACCACAAACCACAAGGAUGAGAUAGAAGUUAUUUUUGACAAUCAAAAGCUAACUAAUUAUGAGAGUGGUACUUAUCACAAGUUUCCAGUGAAGUGAAAGGGACAUACUCAAACUGAUUGCACUUGGAUCAACAGAAGAUGAUCUCAAGAGGUGACCUUCCCAUGCACGCUACAUUCUAUGAUUUCUAAAUUCUAUGAUUUCUAACCUACUUGGGAAAUAAAGAGUUAAUCCAUUCAGCAUGAAGCAAUUCCUUGAAGUUCACAUACACCUUGACAAAAUGUAAUUACAUAAAUAUCUCACAACCAUGACUUCUCCUUUCAACAGAUAUUUAUUCUGAUCCAUUUCCUUGCCAUUCAUAUAUCUGUACUUUGCCAAAGCAGCCUUGCUGCACAUUUCAAACCAUUGUUAGCUUACACCCCUCAAUUUAGCCAUAAGGCCAACAACCUUAAAACAUGACUACCUUCCUCCUAUGUGGCUAUAUACAAGCAUCUCUGAAAAGAAAAAGGAAAGGACCAUCCACAAGCAUGACAUUAUAAAAUUGUCCAUAUUUAUUCCUAAGUGGCACAUACUCGAUGACUUAAGGCAUCUGUAAACAAAAAACCUCAACAGACACCUCAACCUUGUUACUCAACGCAUGAUAAUAAACCCUCAAUUACUUUUCAAAAUAAAUAAAUAACUAUCGAAUUGCAUCCAUAAAUAUCCUUUGAUGCUUUCUUAGAACUGGCAAAAGUUUUUAACUUCGCUUUUCAUAACUUCCCACCAACAAGCCCUAUAGUUACAUACCAUGAAUACUAAAAUUUUCGCUUGCUUAGGAGGAAAAAGGGAAGAAAGAAAAGGGAUCAGUACUAAAGAAAACUAGCAUUCAUAUUGAAAUUACUGCAUAGAUGCAAUUCCAACAAGAGUGAGACAAUAAAGUAAAAAAAAAAAACUCUACUGCAUUCUAUAGAUAUUUGGAAGAAAAUUAAAUUCUCUUCCAGUCAGAGUCAAGAAAAGGGAAAGUGUAAGAGUUUAAAAUCCAACCAAAAAUGAUCCAUACACAAAUCAAAGUGACGAAUAGCACGUAAACUGAAGUGAGAUCUGUAAAACGGCAUUGCUAAAAUGGAGAAAAUUGAGGAGGAAAUUAGUAAUGAGAACUAACCACCGGAAGCGCCAGUAUGUAGUCCACGACCGACAAAGAAAAUCAAGGGAGUGAGAACACAGAAGAAAACUAGAAGAGCGAUGGGGAGUCGAGAUCCAGCACUACCGCCUCUGCUCCUAGCUACACCGGUACUCGAUAAUCCACGCUUUAACGCCAUUUCCUAUCAAAAUCUGGAAUCAAGAACUCCGUGGAGAUAGUAAAGGUCGAAAAGCUAAACACAGCGAGUAAAGACUUACAAUUAGAUUUGGAGGAAGAUCACGUGAAGUUGAGAGGAGUAGCCGUUGACGAAUGUUUGUCAGUGAAAGUCCAUAGGACCAUAGCCAAGAAUCAGAUAGUGACAAGUGUUGAAAGAGUAGAAAAAAGAGGAGGUAGCUUAGAGAUGAAGGAAAAGGGAAGAAGAAAGUGAGAGGGGAGUUGUGGAGAAUUAAAGUGGGGGUCAAGGCAGCAGCAAAUUGAAAUUUGAGUCACAUUCGGGAGAGUAAUCGACAAAAUGAGAUAAUUUCUGUUGCCCUAAGUGAGAGAGAAAGAUGAAUACAGAUGAGGAUGGAGUCUGGCAAUCAUUUUCUUCUAAGGAUAUCGCCUUUUGUCUGUAAUUUUGGCCCCCUCCCUUUUUUUUUAAUUUUCAGUAAAUUUCAUUUUCUUGUUUCUUCCUGGUCGCAGAGCCUGACCAAUAAGGAACGGCGUCGUCUCUUACGGCAUCUACUAUAACCUAGUUUUUGAGGACAAAAUGGUGAUCAACUCGCAUGCCCUUGACAAGUUAAAAAUUAAAAUAUUUACCUUAAAAUUUUAUUUUUAAAAUCAAAUAGCUUUUUACGAAUAAAAAUAUAGGUUAAUAUUUUAGUCCCAUAAAAUUAUCUUAAUUAAAUAAACUUUAGCUAUCAUGAAAUAUUAAUUUUUUAUUUAAAAAAAUAUAAUAGACUUAAUAGUAAUUUACUCAAAUUGAUUAUUAUAAUAUUAAAAAUAUAUUAAUAAAUUAAAUUUUUAAUUUUAAAUAAAAUUUAAACUUAUAAUAUUCAAAUAAAAUAUAAAAUUUUUAACUAUUAAAUUGUUGACAUCAUGCAUUGACACUUACAUUGUUAUAAUAUAAGAUGCAUAAAUAUAUUGAUUACAUAUCUCAAAUAAAUUUCACAGGUUCAAAUUUUCAAUUAUCUGAAAUCAUAUUGGACCGCACCAGUUUGAACAAAACUAAAUCCAAAAAUAAAAUAUGAAAGUAGAAUUGUUCUCCAUUCAAUCUGUUUUUGAAAAUUUUAGAUCAAAAUAGACUAUUUCCUAUUUUGAAAAAUAAUAUAUUUAUAUUCUAAAAAUUUUAAAAAAUUACAAAUAAUGUACGUAUAUAUGAAAUUUAUAUUUUAUUUCGUUUAUUUUUUUCAAUUUAAUCAAUCGGCUCUCCUUGAAUCCUAAUCUCUAAAGUUAAGAGUAUGUACCGAUUCGAUCCACUUUUUCAAUCAGAAUUGAACAAUGAACUAGGGGCAAAAGUACAAUAUUUAGGGUGCUCAAUGAGUUUGUUGACCUGUAAAAAUAACACAGUAAACCUUUUAGGACUAGACACUUGGAACACGAACAGGUUUAAAAUAUAGAAACAUAAACAAUUAACUUUUUCAGAGUUUUACAGCAAUAGGAGGCUUUGGCUGGUAAAUCAAUCCCCGCAGCCUCCCAUGUAUAUAAUUUUAUAUGAAACUAUACUUCUAUUUACAUUCCAAACACAAUAAAAUUUUCAAACAAAUUUUCAAUUCCUCACCUAAAAUUCCUUAAUCUCAAACAUACUAAAUUAGAUUUUCUUUUCAUUCUAUUCUACCAGUAGUACCACAAGAUGGCACACACACAAACUCAAAAAAAAUGCAAAAAAAGAAAGAAAGCAUACACGAACCAUCCAACUCCCACAAGCGCAGUUGAAAAAAUAUAUUCAUCAAACAAACUGAAACUGAUGUAACAUGCAACAUGAACAAAGUCUGGCACCUGAAUACCACAACAUCCACACUCCUAUACGAAACAUAAAGAACCAAGAGCUUACAUAGAUUACGAUUUUCAAACAUUCUGAAAUACAAUUUCCUAUUCGCUCAAAUUGACACCUACAAAGGUAGCUCCCUAUCCGAAAUUGUGGAAAUCUUUGCAAGACAUUAGCAUCAUUUUGAUAGCCACAACAUUACCUCGGAUAAAAUUUGAAUCAAAAGAACUUCCCAAUGAUAAGCGAAUGAUACAAGUUAUCCUGAGAAACUAUUUGCAGUUCUUUUAAGCAGCCAUAACCUAGAAAAAGNNNNNNNN
rnacentral:lncRNA from 1 species